UGGCUAAUACCGCAUGAGAUCGAGAGAUGAAAGCAGGGGACCCGUAAGGGCCUUGCGCGAGAGGAGCGGCCGAUGCCGGAUUAGCUAGUUGGUAGGGUAAAAGCCUACCAAGGCGACGAUCCGUAGCUGGUUUGAGAGAACGACCAGCCACACUGGGACUGAGACACGGCCCAGACUCCUACGGGAGGCAGCAGUGGGGAAUUUUGGACAAUGGGGGCAACCCUGAUCCAGCCAUGCCGCGUGAGUGAAGAAGGCCUUCGGGUUGUAAAGCUCUUUCGGCCGGAACGAAAUCGCACGGGUGAAUAUCCCGUGUGGAUGACGGUACCGGAAUAAGAAGCACCGGCUAACUACGUGCCAGCAGCCGCGGUAAUACGUAGGGUGCGAGCGUUAAUCGGAAUUACUGGGCGUAAAGUGUGCGCAGG
rnacentral:rRNA from 1 species